GCGCGGGUAGCUCAAUGGGUACAGAGCGGCCGGGGUCAUGCCCGGCAUGGACGCCGGUUCGACUCCGGCCCUGCCUA
rnacentral:tRNA from 1 species